GUGACGUCCACUGCGCAAGAGCGGAAGUUCUUCCUUUCGGAGAGGGUGAGGAGAGGCGCAGUAUAAGAGUCUUGCUGCUCCUCUCUGCAUGUGCAUGACAUACUGUUGAUUUUCGUCAACUCCUCACGCGCGUGGAGCGGUUUGUGCUUGUAAAGAUCAGCAGACGGGCGGCUGUUAAAUUUGAUCUUCGGCGGUCUAUGAUCAGCAGACGGGCGGCUGUCAAAUUUGAUCUUCGGCGGUCUAUGAUCAGCAGACGGGUGGCUGUUAAAUUUGAUCUUCGGCUGUCUAUGAUCAGCAGACGGGCGGCUGUUAAAUUUGAUCUUUGGCGGUCUAUGAAAGAAAGCUGAAAUUUAUCUCAGAACAGCUACGUAUUUUUAGAGGCGCUCUUCGGCUACUCCUCCCUGAUGUCUUUAACGGCCUGUGGCGCGUAGGCGUGGAUAAAGCGUAGGAUGUCCUGCCGGAGUAGAUCCAGGGCUCGCUCUCUCCUGAGCAGGCCAUCCACAUCUCCCAGAUCAUUGGGAAAGGCGGCGUCGGGCGGGAUAACGAGCGCUGAAGCCCCUGUGUGUGUGUGGGGGGGGGGUAGUUUGGUCCAAGGGAAAGUUGGUGGCGUAAUGAUGACAUGCGGAAACGUACCAUGCUUGAGAGUGCUAGAGUUCUCGCAGAGGAGCACCGCAAUCACUGCGUCUUCCUCUACUACCUGCCGUCGCAGGCUUAAUUUGGAGUGGGCCUCUGCUAAAGAGAUCCUGUUACAACAAACAUGAGAAGGAUCACCUUUUUUUUUUGGAGGGGGUGCUAAUACAUUUUUAAAUGUACUAAAUGAAGCAAGACAUUCCUGAUUUAUUUGUACAUUACGCUCUUGCAAAAUAUUUCAAUUGAUUGCACAGAAUGGCAUUUAACAUUUGGGUUAAACUACGCCACCCAGUGGACAAUUGAGGUACUGCAGGUAUAAGGCGCUGUAGUUUUCCCUUAAUUUGAUUAUUUUGGAGGUAUUAAUUGGGUUGUUUAGAGCUGUAAUGAACACCUCAAAACAUCAACCACUAGACUGCCACUUACAACAAUUUGAUAGAAGCCAUAGACAUCUUGGCAGCGUGGGUUUGUGAGCAGACCGCACGGCUGGCCAUGUAGUAGCCAUGGAUCAUCAUCUGUGCGCUGGUGCUCAGCUCCACUUUCAAAUUUUGUGCGUGGGCCACCAGCUGGGAGGAAAACAAAUCAGGCCAACGACACAGAUGAACUUCAGAUUGGUGUGUUUCCUCACUCCCUCGUAGUCUUCAGCGGAGAAGUUCAUCAAGGAUGGGUGAUGUUCCUCAGGCAGAACUGCUUGUCGGAGGGUGUGGACAGCCUGCGCGAGCACCGUCUGCUUCCCGCCCUGAUCUACCUGGACCACCAGGCCAAAGCUGUCUGCCAGUUGAGGCGGUAUAGCACCCAUUCCCUGAUCGUGAAGAACCUGCUGCUGUGAACUGUUAAGUCAAGGUAUUGGUCACGCUUACCGCAGCUCCCAGUGUGACAUCGUGUGCCCUCCCCGAGCGCUGAGGAGGGUGAGUAGAGUCUGUGAAGGCCCAGAAGCUGCACGAGACCGGGAAGCUAAGCUUCUGGUCAACAGCCUCGCCAUAUUUCUUGCCGGGGAUGAACACGGAUGUAGUGCGACUGUCCAGAACUGACACAACAGUGACAUGACUUCCAUGUUCUUAUCCAUUUUCAAAUACGGUCUACCUGACUGAAUGGCAUCCAGCUCGUCCUUCACAAAGCCAUUCAAAUCUCCCAGCAUGCAAAUGCCGCCGGUGGCCAGCAGGGCGGAGCCGGCGUGGAUGUUGGCGGUGCCCACCCCGUGCUCAUCCUGGGACAGGGACGCAAACAUCUUCUCCGAAGCAGGAUGCCGCACCCCGCGACGUGCCAAGCUCAGCGCAUAUGCCAUCAACCUGACAAAUAAGUUAAUUGGUUUCAAUUGCGCUCAAGAGAUUGUUUCAUUGUGGCCACCAGGUGGCAGUAUAAUAUACAGCUGCAGUAAUAUUGGUUGUUUUUUGCAGAGGAUAAAGAAUGGGGUUUUUUUUGCCUCCAUGUGGCGUUUUGUUAAAAGAAAAUGCGUUUCACGUUAUGUGCAAUGCCACUGAGACCCUUCUACCUGUCCAGUAUGAGUUUGUCAUCUGUCAUGACCAAAAGAUCCAAGUUGAAAACUGUGUUUUUUGCUUCUGCUUCAGUUUGCAACAAGCUGAGCAACAAGCUGAGCUUCAAGGUGUUGAAGAGGCCCAGGGGAAGCACAUCCAGAGCGAAGCAGUUAGUGACCACAGCGGCAAACCUCCAAGGAGAACCUCUGGGCUCGGCCUUACACUCGGGUUCCCACGGUUGGACGCUGUUGGCCUCCACGCUCCAGGUGAUGUUGGGCGAGCGGUGCACACGUGCAGGUGAGGUGCAAACCAUGCAAGUGAAAUCGUUGUCCACGGUUGCCGACUCAGUGGCUCCCGGCGCGUGAAAGCGGAUGGUGUGGAAUCCUAAAGCGAGCAGGCGUGGUGGCAAUUCAAGACACAGGUUGUCCACCUCAUCAUAAUUGCGGGGAAAGAUCUCGUCUCUAUGGCAACCAAGACCGAACGGCGGGAGACAUGAACGUGACGUCAACACCGGCCACAGAAAAGCAAAUUCACUCGCAUUCACACCCAUCAUUUUUUCAAAUAAAAGUCUUACAAAUGUCAAUGCCAUCAUUUGCUUUAAAUAAUCGUAUUCUUAAAACUUUGUCGCUCGGCUACGCAUCGUUCCCAUGGCAACCAAACCCGGGCAGCGCUGAUGGCGUCAUCAAAAAGGGCCACGGCAAGGUAAGUUCUAGUGCUCACACAACUUAUCCAAAAAUACUGUACUAUAACGCUUUUUCUUAUCUAAAGCCCAACACUGAA